rnacentral:lncRNA from 1 species
UUAAAAAUUUCCAAACACGGCGCAAAGACUACAAAGAUAUGCCAAAAUAAAAAUAGUUAUUUACGAUGUGAACUGGCACAACUCUAAAUUCCCAAAGGUGGUGACAGUUGAGAUGUUAAACAACUGCGUGGAAAUACAGUCCCAAUAAACAGUCCUGACCGAUCUAAGCUGGUAUAAUAUUUAAAAUAUGAUAACGGUUGAGCAAUUGCAACAGAGACUGCGUAUUUAAACAUCCCAAAAAUAUAGUAAUUAGAAGAAAAAUGAGUAAUACAUUUUUACUAAGGUUAAGUAAUAGAACGGGGCUGCGUAUUUACACAUCCCUGCCAACUGUAAUUAAAACUAGUAUAAUUCAAUUAUUCCUGAAAAGUGUAAGAGUCCAGUACGGAAGCCGGAGUACCUGAACACGAGUGAUG